GGGAGGAUGUCACGGCCCGCUAGUUUUGACCCAACCCCUUGCCGAUUUCCCUUGAGUUGGGGAGGUUAAAGAGUCCAAGAAUUAGCCCAAGUAGGGUUAGGCCCAAGUUGGCCCAAUUGUAUAGUGGUAGGUAGAGCCAUUUUUGGUAGGUAGAGGUAGGUGGUGGUAGGUAGAGACAAUCAAGGGAUUGUUCCACUCCCAUCCGUUAGAUCAUAUCGAUCUCCACCGUCCAUUGAGG
rnacentral:lncRNA from 1 species